UACGUAGGGUGCGAGCGUUGUCCGGAUUUACUGGGCGUAAAGAGCUCGUAGGCGGUCUGUCGCGUCGGAUGUGAAAACCCAGGGCUCAACCCUGGGCCUGCAUUCGAUACGGGCAGACUAGAGUACGGCAGGGGAGACUGGAAUUCCUGGUGUAGCGGUGAAAUGCGCAGAUAUCAGGAGGAACACCGGUGGCGAAGGCGGGUCUCUGGGCCGAAACUGACGCUGAGGAGCGAAAGCGUGGGGAGCGAACAGG
rnacentral:rRNA from 1 species